CGUGUAGGCGGUUUGGCAAGUCAGAUGUGAAAGCCCUGGGCUCAACUCAGGAAGUGCAUUUGAAACUGCCGAACUAGAGUAUGGGAGAGGAGAGUGGAAUUCCCAGUGUAGAGGUGAAAUUCGUAGAUAUUGGGAGGAACACCCGUGGCGAAGGCGACUCUCUGGACCAAUACUGACGCUGAGACGCGAAAGCGUGGGGAGCAAACAGGAUUAGAUACCCUGGUAGUCC
rnacentral:rRNA from 1 species